rnacentral:tRNA from 1 species
UCCCUAAUAGUCUAGUGGUUAGGACUUGGUGCUCUCACUGCCAGGGCCACGGGUUCAAUCCCUGAUUGGGGAA